UACGAAGGGGGCUAGCGGUGUUCGGAAUUACUGGGCGUAAAGCGCGUGUAGGCGGGCCGUUAAGUCGGGGGUGAAAGCCCAGAGCUCAACUCUGGAAUUGCCCUCGAUACUGGCGGCCUGGAGCAUGAUAGAGGCGAGUGGAAUUGCGAGUGUAGAGGUGAAAUUCGUAGAUAUUCGCAGGAACACCAGUGGCGAAGGCGACUCGCUGGAUCAUUGCUGACGCUGAGACGCGAAAGCGUGGGGAGCAUACAGG
rnacentral:rRNA from 1 species